GGGAGUUAAAAGCGGUGAAAACCCUGGAAGAGGCUUGGCGGAGGAAUUUAUACAAAAGAAGCCUCAGAACUGCAAAGCAAAAUGGCAGUCUGAGUCUGCUCUGAAUGGGUGGCUUCCCAGGAAGGGAGAGACCCCCACAGCCCCUCGGCCAGGCAGAGCGGAUCCAGAGCCCCCCUCAGUAGAUUCCGCCUAGACAACUUUAAAACGAGAUCCGGCCACACCACCGGCAGGAGAAAGGGAGCAGGACACAAGAACAACAGCCCCUGUUUUCCAAAGCUCUUCCAAACUCUCAUCUCCCGGAUCCGUUCGAUUCCCAGCCUCCCCAGAACACGACCGCUGACCCCCAAAUUCUUGGAAUGCCACGAAAAUCCUGAACGUUCUCCCAGAAACUCCGGAGGUGGACGAUUCCGCAGAGGAAGAGGAGGAUGUGCCGUCGCAGCACCAGUGACGCAGGGGACCCCGGAAGAAGCAGAGGAUAAAACUGAAGAUGGAAACUGAUUUGAUUCCCUCUUUUUGGGGAUCAGGGUCUCAUUUGUGCUGCCUGGGGAAACCUCGGACACGCCAAGGGAAGGGAAGGAACCCCGAGCAAGACCUGAGAGACCUCAGAGGAGGACGAAGGCUCAGCACCACCCGGAAUUAAAGUCCCAGAACUAGGCCUCGUCUCCUCAAAGGCGAGUGAUGUUCGUCCAGACAAGCAGGUCAAUAAAUCAGCUGGGCUUCACCAUUGCACACCCAAUUGUGGAUCCUUACAUAAAACUUCUAGAAAUUGUUUCUGCACACACAAAUCUUCAGAGCAGUAUCACUCUGCUGGGGAUCAAAAUCAAUUAUCUGCUUUCAAAAAUUCUAGUGUAAAUAUUGCAUUAUCUAAAUGUUCUUGAGGAGCCAUAUUCUCCCCUUCUUUGUUUUUCAACAACAUGUGCAUCUCUCGCAUUGAACAUGAGGGCAACAUAAAAGUAAGACAAUACAUGUAGUAAAGUAAUAAACUCACACCAAGCAAAAAUAAGCAAAGUAAUAGAUGUAUUCAGUAGCACAUGAGUGAAAGGAGAGUGAUUUAGAACAAUACAUCAUCAGUUGCCUAAAUAUUGUACCAUCAUCAAGUCUGCAAUAGCUAGCAAGCCGUGUUUCACAGUGAGGACCCGGAGAACCAUGCCCAGGCAAGGUUUCCAAGUUUACUUCAAACAGGGGUCCAGCUUUUAUAAGCCCAAAUUGGCCAGUCAAAGUGACUUGAGUACAGUUUUAUUGCAGAAAACACCUGGGUCUGUUGGCAUACUUCCAACCAGCUAGGGCCAGGGCUUGGCCAGAGUCAAGGCCUUAACUGGAAGAGUUUUCCCAACAUAUCUUACAAACAAGUGUCUAGUAAUAGCAUUUGGGAAAGUUUCUUAAAAUUAUGUGUCUUGCAGAUAGCUACACAGUGGUAUGUGAAGGUUUGUAAAGCAGCCAGCUUUGCAAUUUAUCCUUGGCUAAGUAGUGAAUGGUACCAUGAAUUAAUUGCAAACAACCAAAGGAAUGCAUAUGUAUAACCUCAAAUAUCUUAUGGAUAAUGCCCGUUAUAAACAGUCAGCAAAUUCACGCUAUGACAUUAACAACAUAUUCAGAAUCAUUAAUACAGCAGCAGUGCUUGUCCUAAGAAGUCGAGAUUAUAUUUUUUUUUACACAUCAAUGCAUAUAUGACAUUAAAACAGAAUAAAAGCAUGAAAGAAAGCAAUAAACAGUUUACAAUUAAUAACAGCCAUAAUUUGGAAUUGUUACUCAUUCUUCUGUGUUACCUAUGGAAAAUAAAAUAGCAGAGAUUGUUAUGAAUAGUUGUGUUAAUUGACCAAUGCAGAACAUG